GCUCUGUGGAUCAGUGGCGAACGGGUCGAGUAACACGUGAGCAAUCUGCCCCUGACUCUGGGAUAAGCGCUGGAAACGGCGUCUAAUACCGGAUACGAGCUGCGAAGGAAUCUUCAGUAGCUGGAAAGAAUUUCGGUCAGGGAUGAGCUCGCGGCCUAUCAGCUUGUUGGUGAGGUAACGGCUCACCAAGGCGUCGACGGGUAGCCGGCCUGAGAGGGUGACCGGCCACACUGGGACUGAGACACGGCCCAGACUCCUACGGGAGGCAGCAGUGGGGAAUAUUGCACAAUGGGCGAAAGCCUGAUGCAGCAACGCCGCGUGAGGGACGACGGCCUUCGGGUUGUAAACCUCUUUUAGCAGGAAAGAAGCGAAAGUGACGGUACCUGCAGAAAAAGCGCCGGCUAACUACGUGCCAGCAGCCGCGGUAAUACGUAGGGCGCAAGCGUUAUCCGGAAUUAUUGGGCGUAAAGAGCUCGUACGCGGUCUGUCGCGUCUGCUGUGAAAACCCGAGGCUCAACCUCGGGCCUGCAGUGAGUACGGGCAGACUAGAGUGCGGUAGGGGAGAUUGAAAUUCCUGGUGUAGCGGUGGAAUGCGCACAUAUCAGGAGGAACACCGAUGGCGAACGCAGAUCUCUGGGCCGUAACUGACGCUGAUGAGCGAAAGGGUGCGCAGCAACAGUCUUAGAUACCCUGGUAGUCCACCCCGUAAACGUUG
rnacentral:rRNA from 1 species